UACGUAGGGGGCAAGCGUUGUCCGGAAUCAUUGGGCGUAAAGCGCGUGUAGGCGGCCCGGUAAGUCCGCUGUGAAAGUCGGGGGCUCAACCCUCGGAUGCCGGUGGAUACUGUCGGGCUAGAGUGCGGGAGAGGCGAGUGGAAUUCCUGGUGUAGCGGUGAAAUGCGCAGAUAUCAGGAGGAACACCAAUUGCGAAGGCAGCUCGCUGGAACGGUACUGACGCUGAGGCGCGAAAGCGUGGGGAGCAAACAGG
rnacentral:rRNA from 1 species